GCCAGGCUGUGCAGUGAGAAGAGACUCCCACUCUUUACUGAGACAGGAGGGAGUCCGGGGAAACUGAGGCCAGGACAGCAGCAGCCCGAUGGCGGUGGUGGUGGGGAGAUGGUCAAGCGAUGCUGGAGGAGGAAGGGCACUCAAACAGUGCGACCCAUGUCCUUGGGACAGGGACAGACAUGCUCAGAGGGAAGAUGAUGUGGAGACGCAGGGAGAAUGCCACCAGCCAAGGACUAUCUCAGCCUAAACCGGAAGCCGCCCAAAUGUCCCUGACGGUGAAGGCCACGUGCUCUGUGUCUGCACAGUGGAACACUGGCUCAGUCUCAGUCAUGAAAAGGAGCGAACUAUCAGCAUGCAUGGUGCCUCGGAUGACUCGCACAGGUGUUGCAUUGAGCACGGGAAGCCAG